rnacentral:rRNA from 1 species
UUAAAGUGGUACGUGAGCUGGGUUUAAACCGUCGUGAGACAGGUUGGUCCGUAUCUGGUGUGGGCGUACGAAACUUGAGGGAUAUUCUCUUUAGUACGAGAGGAUUUGGAGGGACGCACCUCUGGUGUUCCUGUUGUCACGCCAGUGGCAUCGCAGGGUAGCUAUGUGCGGUUGUGAUAAACGCUGAAAGCAUAUAAGCGUGAAGCCAUUCCCAAGAUAAGGUUUCGUUUGACUCCCCUUGAAGACCACGAGGUUGAUAGGCUGGCGGUGUAAGGCGUGAGAGCGUCUGAGCUGACCGGUACUAAUGGAGGAA